rnacentral:tRNA from 1 species
GUAUUGGUAGUUCGGUGGUAGAAUUCUCACCUUCCACGCGUGAGACUCAGGUUCGGUUCCCAGCCAAUGCA